rfam:Choloepus hoffmanni cont1.19939, whole genome shotgun sequence.
CUAGGAGAACCGAAAACAGUUCUAGACAGACCUGCAGUUUUAUAGCCGUUUUGGCAGUCAACUUCAGCUUGUGUCUGAGCAGACAGGCUGCGGUGGCCCUCCCUUCAGCUGGGGAAUCCAGGCUGCCUCCCCAGGCUGCGUGCAGCCCCUCUCCUAAUUAGCUUGUUUCCCCGGUGCCUGGAGAGGGGGUCCUGGCAGAAAGG